CCGUCCAAAAAGCAGAAAUGGCAAGCACACUGCGCUAAGCAGAGUAGAUGGAGGGCCACAGCGGCACGAGAGCAGAUAAGGCAGCUGAAGAGGCACACUCGAAGGGAAGUCCCGACAGCAUAGCUCCAGGGCUCGGGCAGCGCACGAGCGUGCGUGGCGGAGGGGCUCCCAGCAGAGACACGUGAUCCAGGCCUUGUGCCCGCAGAGCGUCCGUCCCAGCUGCUUCCCCGUCUCGGGGUCCCACAAGAAUAUCUGCAACGACGAGAGGAGCGAGUGAUUUCACGGACCCGUUGGUUGCAUGAGUUGCACGUGCCUCACGAGUUUGCACGUUGGAACUCACCUGGCCGUUUUUGCAGCCCGAGGCUAUCUUUUUGCCAUCUGGGGCCCAGGUUACACACAGGACCCAGUUCUGGUGACCUGAGAAGAAAAAAGGAAGAUGCAAUAAACACACACUGAUCAGAAAAAAAAAUUUCAGGCAAAAAGCUCUACAGCAUUUUGUGAAGUAGCACUUUUGAGUUGUGCCGUAAAUGUUAGACAUCGACUUAUCCACCUUCUUUGCUAUUUUUACAGCUGCAGGUCAAUUAAUCUAAUGCGAGAGGAAGAAAGAGAGGAAUGGUAAAUACACUCUGACAUUAAAAACCGAUUUCGUUGAAGAGAGGAACUGUCCCACUCAAAAAGUGUUUUUCUUAUGUCAGGCACCAGGCAGA